UGCAGUCGAACGAAGUAGCAAUACUUAGUGGCAGACGGGUGAGUAACAUGUAGGUAUCUACCCUUUGGCCUGGAAUAACACGAGGAAACUUGUGCUAAUACCGGAUAAGUCUUUACGGGGAAAGCUUUAUGCACCAUUGGAUGAGCCCGCACUUGAUUAGUUUGUUGGUAGGGUAAUGGCCUACCAAGACUAUGAUCAAUAGCUGAUUUGAGAGGAUGAUCAGCCACAUUGGGACUGAGACACGGCCCAAACUCCUACGGGAGGCAGCAGUGGGGAAUCUUGCACAAUGGAGGAAACUCUGAUGCAGCGAUGCCGCGUGAGUGAAGAAGGCCCUUGGGUUGUAAAGCUCUUUCGUCGGGGAAGAAAAUGACCGUACCCGAAUAAGAAGGUCCGGCUAACUUCGUGCCAGCAGCCGCGGUAAUACGAAGGGACCUAGCGUAGUUCGGAAUUACUGGGCUUAAAGAGUUCGUAGGUGGUUGAAAUAGUUGGUGGUGAAAUCCCAGAGCUUAACUCUGGAACUGCCAUCAAAACUUUUCAGCUAGAGUAUGAUAGAGGAAAGCAGAAUUUCUAGUGUAGAGGUGAA
rnacentral:rRNA from 1 species